AAUCACCACUGGGGGUGCCCUUAAUGGGGCUGAGAGAGGCGAGCUGCCUUAACCCUUAUAACUUGAACCGGUUUGAACCGGCGUAAGGAAGGGGUGUUUUGACGCA
rfam:Domibacillus iocasae strain DSM 29979 DSM29979_contig_3, whole genome shotgun sequence.